rnacentral:rRNA from 1 species
AUUGAACGCUGGCGGCAAGCCUAACACAUGCAAGUCGAACGAGUGGCGGACGGGUGAGUAAUGUCUGGGAAACUGCCUGUUGGAGGGGGAUAACUACUGGAAACGGUCGCUAAUACCCCCUACCAUCGGAUGUGCCCAUGUGGGAUUAGCUAGUUGGGGGGGUAAAGGCUCACCUAGGCGACGAUCCCUAGCUGGUCUGAGAGGAUGACCAGCCACACUGGAACUGAGACACGGUCCAGACUCCUACGGGAGGCAGCAGUGGGUAAUAUUGCACAAUGGGCGCAAGCCUGAUGCAGCCAUGCCGCGUGUAUGAAGAAGGCCUUCGGGUUGUAAAGUACUUGCAGCGGGGAGGCGUUACCCGCAGAAGAAGCACCGGCUAACUCCGUGCCAGCAGCCGCGGUAAUAC